UGGGAUAGGGAUACAGGGAUGGGAAUACAAGGAUGGGGAUAUUGGGAUGGGGAUAUUAGGAUGGGGAUACAGGGAUGGGGAUACAGGGAUGGGGAUACAGGGACAAGGGCACUGGGAUGGAGGUACUGGGAUAGCAAAACAGGGGUAAGGACACCAAGAUGGGUAUUUUGGAAUGGGGGUACUCGGAUGGGGGUAUAACAAUGGGGGAACAGGGACAGGGUACAGGGAUGGGGAAACAGGAUAGGCGAUAUUGGAAUGGGGAUGCUGGGAUGAGGGAACUGGGAAGGGGGUACCAGGAUGGGGGAACUGGCGUGAGGGUAUUAAUAUGAGGGAACUGGGAUUAGGAGCUGCAGUGGGAGUAUUGGGAUGAUGGUAUUGGGAUGAGGAUACUGGGAUGGAGGUGCUGGGAUGAAGGAACUGGGAUGAGGGAGCUGGAAUGGGAGUACUGGGAUGAGAACACUGGAAUAGUGGUGUUGUGUUGGGGGGACCAGUGGGAGGUGAGUACCAGGAUGAAGGAGAACCAGGAUGGAGGAAGGUGAUGGGAUGGAAGCACACCAGGAUGGAGGAACACUGGGUCCCUCCAGUGGGACAGUGCCCUGGCAGGAUGGCCACAGCCCUGCCCCAGCCAGGGGUGCCACAAGGUUUGUUGCUUCCCUUUGCCCCUGAGCACACCCAAAUAAUCCAUCCAGGAUUUCCGAGGCGCUGUCUGCAGGUGGAUCUCUCCCAAGUUUUUCAGCCAGGCUGCCUCACACCUUGAGGUUUGGAUGCAGCAGGAACUGCUGGAACUCCACAUCCAAUAUCCCUGACCCCAGGCACAGACAGACAUCUCCCUUGGGAAGGGGGACAGAUGCUUGGGAAGGAGGGCAGAGCUGCUCACUCAGGCUCUGUCAGAAUGGGAAUAAAGACCUCGUCUGUCUCCA
rnacentral:lncRNA from 1 species